rnacentral:rRNA from 1 species
GACGAACGCUGGCGGCGUGCUUAACACAUGCAAGUCGAACGGAAAGGCCCUGCUUUUGUGGGGUGCUCGAGUGGCGAACGGAUGAGUAACACGUGAGUAACCUGCCCUUGACUUUGGGAUAACUUCAGGAAACUGGGGCUAAUACCGGAUAGGAGCUCCUGCUGCAAGGUGGGGGUUGGAAAGAUUCGUCGGUUGGGGAUGGACCUGCGUCGUAUCAGCUUGUUGGUGGGGUAGUGGCUCACCAAGGCGACGACCAGUAGCCGGACUGGGAGGGUGAACGGCCACAUUGGAACUGAGACACGGUCCAAACUCCUACGGGAGGAAGCAGUGGGGAAUAUUGCACAAUGGGGGAAACCCUGAUGCAGCAACGACGCGUGAACGAUGAAGGCCUUUGGGUCGUAAAGUUCUGUUAUAGGUGAUGAGAACUGACAGUAACCUAGGAGAAAGCCCCGGCUAACUCCGUG